ensembl:lncRNA
CUACAGUAGUCAGCAUGGCUCGAGCAGUGCGGAAAGGUUUUAAAGAAAGUUAUGUAGAUCGCUGUGGUCCUUUGGGGGUCCUGCUCUGCACCAAGUAUAGGAUAAACCAAGCACGCGUGUAUUUACAGGCAUACAAAGUGGGAUACAAGAUCCAGUGUCCGAGUAAAACAGGAAUAUGACCCACACAAUCCAAACUACACAUAGCACCACCGACUUACACACAAAUGCACAUAUUUGAUGUACUGUUUUACAUUCCAACGCUUUUAAUACGUCUUUAAACAUCUCUUCAGCACAUGGUUGGGCUAAGGAUUACUUUUGGAUGAAGUUUCAAACAGGCUGGUGUCUAACCUGGAUAUCACCUCGUACAUGUCACAAAUUGACAGUAAUAUAGUAUGUGCUGCAAAUACCUGUGCUGCAAAUACUCACUUCUUUUCAUUGUCUCUACUUGCCUAUGUACGCAUGCCGGACUACAUGUAGAUUUUGGAGCUAAUCUGUGUAGCUUCUAACUAUGGACACUCAGCUUUUCUCAGCAUAUUGAAAUCAGAAACUGCUUGCCUGCUACACAUGGCUCAUGAGCUUUUGGCUACCUGGAAUCCUGCCUGCUCAAAGUGGCUGCUGUAGCCACACUAGUGGACUGGACUGGACGCUCAGAACUGGAACAUGGGUUUUCCGCCAUUCUCUGUUGCCUUGAAAAUAACCCAGCAAAUCGAUUCACUGCUCACCUCCUGCCCUCAGCUCACAGACCCACAGAUAACAAUUCCAGCUCAGUCAACUGUAUUCAGCUCAAACUGACUUUGACUUGUGCUCAUCUGGCUAUUGUUUGAAUUUUAUGGAGUACGAGGCGAGCCACAAGCUGUGUGCCAACUGCUCAAAGACUCCCUGUGCCGAAUCCAAACCCCAAUGCCAGCAUGGUCUCAGGCCCUGGUCCUCAGUUUCUCCGGAUCCAACCUAAUCAGGCCACUAGCUGCAAAUGUUUGGGCCCGGUGGCAGGCAUGAGCCCAAAAGCCCAAGAAAUGUUUCAAGGUUCUCUCUUAUUAUGUGGAUGGCUCGAAAUCAGACACAGCUUGGUAAUUUUAGGGGUAAAGCCACAUAUUAUGGCUCACAGCCUUCAGCAAAGCUCUCCUGAUAGCUCAGGGUCUGAGCCCCCUAUAACUACAUCCAAGAGACUCUUCCAUAAGGGAGAUGAACCCGCUGAGCUACAUCGCUCAACUUCUGAAGAGUCGAUUGAUGCCAUGUUUUUGACAGCCUGAGAGAACGGAAAAACUCUCCGCCAAUCUGUUUGAAAACAUAGUGCCAAGUUUGGCUGGCACAUUCCACACUGCCAGAAGAAUGCAAAACAAAAUAAUGAAGUCUAUCCUGCAUACCUGGGUUGUUCUUUGGGUCUGCUGCCAAAGAAGCCUUAGAUAGGAGAAUUAAGGAUUUGGAUUGAUAUCAAAAGUCAAUAAAACAAAGUAGAUCGGCCACACAGCACCAAUAGGGUGCCAAUGGCUGAAUCAGUGCUUUGAUGCCCUCUGAAAUUUUAUAGGCCUUGCGAAAGGUUCUGGGAGUCCAGAACCUCUAAGUGUUUUGAGAACCUCUGAGAGGAGAACCAUGGUUCACUUCUGAACACACAACCCACUGAAUAGUACAAGGGUUUUUUUUUGGAGAGAGGUACGAUCAAAAAGUAAACCCCACCCUAUCCAGGAGUGGUGCAGCAGAUCUGAUAACAAUUUGGCCAGGCACAGGUGGACCUCUUUGCCAACACUGAGUCAACUUAUUGUCUCUUUUGUGCAGAUGAACAGGCCUCUGGGACAUUGCGCCUUGUUUCCACCUCUUUCGCUGAUUCUGCUUAUGCUACAAAGAUUUCAGAAAUCGAACCAGAGGUGUUAGACACCACCCAUGGAUGUUAGUAGGGGUAACACCCGGUUAUCCAGUGUUCAUAGUAUGCUUUUUUUAUGCAAGUCUUUCUUAAAAAAAAUCCACAUAAAAAAAAUUCUGAAAUAUAUGAAAAAUAAUGAAAAGCUUUAUUACUUUAACUCCUUUGCUCUUUUACUCAUUCUGUCUGUUAUUAGAAAAAGUUAUUUUAUUGGAAUGUGGUGUUUUAUAUGUUGUUUUGGUUUUGGUUAAAAUAGUUUUAAAAUUUGUCAUUUUUAC